rnacentral:tRNA from 1 species
GCGAGAGUGGCGGAAUUGGCAGACGCGCCAGAUUUAGGAUCUGGUGGGAUUUUUCCCGUGGGGGUUCAAGUCCCUCCUCUCGCA